rnacentral:rRNA from 1 species
CAGCCGCCGCGGUAAUACGUAGGGGGCGAGCGUUACCCGGAUUCACUGGGCGUAAAGGGGGCGUAGGCGGCUCGGUAAGUCGGGUGUGAAAUCCCACGGCUCAACCGUGGAAUUGCGCCCGAAACUGCCGAGCUUGGGGCCGGUAGAGGGAGACGGAACUGCCGGUGUAGGGGUGAAAUCCGUAGAUAUCGGCAGGAACGCCGGUGGGGAAGCCGGUCUCCUGGGCCGCGCCCGACGCUGAGGCCCGAAAGCUAGGGGAGCAAACCGGAUUAGAUACCCGGGUAGUCCUAGCCGUAAACGAUGCCCACUAGGUGUGGGGGAGUAUUUCCUCCGUGCUGUAGCUAACGCGUUAAGUGGGCCGCCUGGGGAGUACGCCCGCAAGGGUGAAACUUAAAGGAAUUGGCGGG